GAUGAAGAACGCAGUGAAAUGUGAUACGUAAUGUGAAUUGCAGAAUUCAGUGAAUCAUCGAGUCUUUGAACGCACAUUGCGCCCCCUGGUAUUCCGGGGGGCAUGCCUGUCCGAGCGUCAUUGCUGCCCUCAAGCACGGCUUGUGUGUUGGGCCUCCGUCCUCCUCCCGGGGGACGGGCCCGAAAGGCAGCGGCGGCACCGCGUCCGGUCCUCGAGCGUAUGGGGCUUCGUCACCCGCUCUUGUAGGCCCGGCCGGCGCUUGCCGACACAUCAAUCUUUUUUCCAGGUUGACCUCGGAUCAGGGAGGGAUACCCGCUGAACUUAAGCAUAUCAAUAAGCGGAGGA
rnacentral:misc_RNA from 1 species